CCCUUAGAUGUCCUGGGCCGCACGCGCGUUACACUGAUGCAUUCAACGAGCUUAUAACCUUGGCCGAGAGGCCUGGGCAAUCUUGUUAACGUGCAUCGUGAUAGGGAUAGAUUAUUGAAAUUAUUAAUCUUGAACGAGGAAUUCCUAGUAAACGCAGAUCAUCAAUCUGCAUUGAUUACGUCCCUGCCCUUUGUACACACCGCCCGUCGCACCUACCGAUUGGAUGGUCCGGUGAAGCCUCGGGAUUGUGGUUCUUGCCGCUUUGUUUUGGCGUGACCGCGAGAACUUGUCUAAACCUUAUCAUCUAGAGGAAGGUGAAGUCGUAACA
rnacentral:rRNA from 1 species